CUGCCUCCGGAGCACUCCCCCCCCCGAUUGCUGGAAGAGGUGGUGCGCUCCGAGCGGUUCCUGGAGCUCCUAGGCUCCUAGGCUGGCCAGCGGCAAGCACCUGCUCACCGGGCUCCUGGGCACCGGGCGCCCGCUGCCAAGAUGCUGGGGCUGCUGGUGGCGUCCUUAGCCCUGGCGCUCGCCUUCUUCGCGCUGCUGGAUGGCUGGUACCUGGUACGCGUACCGUGUGCUGUUCUGCGCGCACGUCUGCUGCAGCCGCGCGUCCGCGACUUGUUGGCGGAGCAGCGGUACGUGGGCCGGGUGCUGCCCUCGGAUCUAGACCUGCUGCUGCACAUGAACAACGCGCGCUACCUGCGUGAGGCCGACGUGGCGCGCGCAGCGCACCUGACCCGCUGCGGUGUGCUGGGAGCGCUGCGCGACCUGAGCGCUCACACCGUGCUGGCCGCCUCGUGCGCGCGCUAUCGACGCUCGCUGCGCCUGUUUGAGCCGUUCGAGGUGCGCACCCGCCUCCUAGGCUGGGACGACCGCGCCUUCUACCUGGAGGCGCGCUUUGUCAGCCUUCGCGACGGUUUCUUGUGCGCCUUGCUGCGCUUCCGGCAGCAUGUGCUGGGCACCUCGCCGGAUCUCGUAGUACAGCACUUGUGCAAGCGCAGGGCGCCUCUUUUUGAGCAUGGGAUAACAGUAUGGUCAGUUAGAAGCAGUUGCUGGGAAUUCCAGUGGGCCCGAGACCCUCGUUAGCACAACUUGCAGCUGAGAAGCCUGCGGUUGAAUUGACCCCAAGAGACUACAAGCCUUGUGUCUUUCCAAGGUGGAACCCCCUGAGCUGCCGGAAGACUUGAAGCAUUGGAUCGCCUACAAUGAGACCAGCAGCCAGCAGCUCCGUGCUGAGAGUGGGCUCAGUGACACCAGAAAGGACCAGUGACUACCACACCUGCGCCCUCCCUGCACUGCCUGUCAGCCAGUCCAUUCUACAGAGUGGGCCACCUGGGCUGCAUUCCUAGCUGGAGUGCCCCGGACAUACCUGGCACCUUUCACCCGCCUGACACUCCUCUGUGCUGACCUCAUCUUGGGCAUCUGUUGGGGUGGACGAUGUUGUCCUGGCCCAGCUUUGUCCCCUGGGUCCCUACAGCAUGACUGUUCUAGUCUGUCCAGAUGAGCAGGGUCCUGGAGCAGAGGGGCCAGCACAGAGCCUAAAGUCAGGACUGUUAGUGGCCAGGCAGGCCAGAGUAGUCCUGGGUGUGGCUGGGGUCUGCACCUUACUCAGGGAUAGCGGCCCUCUUGAGGGUCACCCUAUAGCAGGGAAGAUAGGCCUGGACCAGCCCAGGGGCCCCUUAGAACACAGAAGGGCAAAUGGAAGCUGGUCCCUGGCCAAGAUUCUGAUGAUGCCCACCACUCUAAGAGGAUGUGCCCUGUCUAGCCAGGCCAUCGAGGCCAGGAGUCCUGGUGUAGGGGGGGUCCUAUGGCUAUGCCGAGCACCUGCCCUGUCAGCUCAGGGGAAGGGACAGCUGCUUGACGCUAGGCGCUGCCUCCUUGCUACCUCUCCGGGAGCCAUACCCGGAGCCAGAGCCAAGAGCUUCAGUGACGCCCUGACCCUCACUUGCACCCCCGUGCCCCCACCCCCCACGCUACUGUGCUUGCCUUAGCGCUACCGAGGGGAAGCUGCAGUCUGUGUUAUUUAAAGAAAGCACAAGAUUAAAGGCUUUAAAGACGUG